GUCCAGACUCCUACGGGAGGCAGCAGUGGGGAAUAUUGCACAAUGGGGGAAACCCUGAUGCAGCGACGCCGCGUGAAGGAAGAAGUAUUUCGGUAUGUAAACUUCUAUCAGCAGGGAAGAAAAUGACGGUACCUGACUAAGAAGCCCCGGCUAACUACGUGCCAGCAGCCACGGUAAUACGUAGGGGGCAAGCGUUAUCCGGAUUUACUGGGUGUAAAGGGAGCGUAGACGGCAGUGCAAGUCCGGAGUGAAAGCCCGGGGCUCAACCCUGGGACUGCUCUGGAAACUGUAAAGCUGGAGUGCGGGAGGGGCAGGCGGAAUUCCUGGUGUAGCGGUGAAAUGCGUAGAUAUCAGGAGGAACACCGGCGGCGAAGGCGGCCUGCUGGACCGCGACUGACGUUGAUGCGCGAAAGCGUGGGGAGCAAACAGGAUUAGAUACCCCUGUAAU
rnacentral:rRNA from 1 species